rnacentral:rRNA from 1 species
CUACGGGAGGCAGCAGUGGGGAAUAUUGCACAAUGGGCGAAAGCCUGAUGCAGCGACGCCGCGUGAGGGAUGACGGCCUUCGGGUUGUAAACCUCUUUCAGUAGGGAACAAGGCCAGCUUUUGGUUGGUUGAGGGUACUUGCAGAAGAAGCGCCGGCUAACUACGUGCCAGCAGCCGCGGUAAUACGUAGGGCGCAAGCGUUAUCCGGAAUUAUUGGGCGUAAAGAGCUCGUAGGCGGUUUGUCGCGUCUGCCGUGAAAGUCCGGGGCUCAACCCCGGAUCUGCGGUGGGUACGGGCAGACUAGAGUGAUGUAGGGGAGACUGGAAUUCCUGGUGUAGCGGUGAAAUGCGCAGAUAUCAGGAGGAACACCGAUGGCGAAGGCAGGUCUCUGGGCAUUAACUGACGCUGAGGAGCGAAAGCAUGGGGAGCGAACAGGAUUAGAUACCCUGGUAGA